UAGAACUGAAAAGAAAAGGAUUGUAGUUCGCAAGGGAACUAGCUGUGCUGAAUUGGAUAUAUCUGGAUGCAGUCUGCUUUCAUCUCUAGUCAGGUCAGCUGAUUUCCAGUUAGUCAGCUUGCUUCCCUCUGUUUCUCAUUCCAUGCCAAAAAGCAAGCGAGAGGACCAAAGCGCAGGAAAUAAACACCAGCAUGAUGGUGUUAGAGCUGAUGAAUAACCACAGGCUCUGGGUAAGAGAAGGAACCGUUAUGUCACUGUUUAGAGGACUGCUGGUUUUCCUCUGUCUCCUGCAAGCCACAGAUAGUGUUAACAACCACCUUAAAACAAGCACGGGGAAGCGCGUUGAACUGCCAUGUGAAUACCCUUUCGAAGACCAGGGUCCAAUCUCAGAGCUGGUCCUCCAUUGGAAGAGCCCGAACGAUACCUUGCUGUGUGCCAUUGUAAAGCAAAAAAGCAUCCACAGAUGCCAGCCCGGAUACGUGUUUCAGUACAGCCCCGGGAAGCUCUCCCUCGUCAUUGAAAAAGUCAGGAGGGAGGAUUUGGGGAACCACACCUGUUCAGCUUAUAAACAAAAUGAUCAUUCUGAUUACGUCACAGAUAUUUCAUUAGAAGGUCGCUCACUGUCUCCUUCAUGCACUACCUGUUAUAAACCCUCAUGUUAUGCACUUUUCACAGCAUUACUUAUUACAGUCUGCAUUACACGACAGUGGAAUUGACUGCCCCACUUGCUAUGCAGGGAUUCCACGUUGGUAUCUCCUACAGCAGACCAAAAAGAGCAACACUGCUAUUCAGUAAUGUGACAUUGACCAGAUGAAUGUUUAUCCAAGUAUCAGGUAACAGACCCUGUCCUUCUUUUUAUUGUGAUCAUUUUUCCUGAUCACAGUAAUCUUCUGGAACUCAAAGGGGAGAAACGGGAGACAGCUGAAAAACGAAGUCUUAUACAUACCCAACCAAAACAAAGUUUAAUUUGUGGAUUUCACAGCAAUAAUAAGUGUAGGCUUACAUACUCUGUCCUUUCUUUAAAACCAAAUAAAGCCAUCGAAAAAUAAUCUUGUCGACUUAUAUCUUCAGUGUUUUAACUAUUGUUUUAGCUACUGUAUGCAUGAACUUCUAAAAGAAACUGACUAGAGAAUUGUGUUUGGUUUCACAGUACUAAUCUUUCAAGACAUGAGCCAAGUAGAGUCUGUGAAACCAGCCUUUCAUGAAUUAUUUAACCAAUCAGUACCGGCUUCAAAAACAAGUCCUUAUGAAGAAAUGAGUCAUCGUAACUAUUACUGAUAAAAACACAUGUGAUAAGCACAACUUGUUUUCCACUGAAGUGAACACUCCUCACCUGCUUUUUUCAGUUUUACAAUAAGCAAUUGUAAAAUAACCAGCAAAGUUGUUUUUUCAUGUUUCUAUGUAUUGUGUUGAAAACUGCAAUUAAUGUAUUUACCACAAGACUGGUUAAUUUGUAAAGAAAGCUGUGUUUUAAGUUGUAUAAUGUAUUUAAUUGUGUUGAGACUGGCACUGUAAAUAAAAUGUGUUUAACAUGUAUUGUUAACAAAAUA